CAACGCGACCCCAGGUCAAGGCGGGCUACCCGCUGAGUUU
rnacentral:rRNA from 1 species